UCCUUACAUGUUCUAAAGCCACCUGCAGAAAUCCCAGUAAGAGAAGCAAAACGCACAAAAGCAAAUGCAUUUGUCACUAAUGUAAAGGCUUCAGACACCUCAGCCACUGCAACUAAGCCUAAUAUAGAGGAAAUCAAGCCAAGAGACUCUGAUAAACAAAAGAAAAGAGACAUACCACCACAAAUCUCAAGCCUGAGCAAGUGCAUUUGUUGUGGAGAAAACCACACCGUACACAAAUGUCCAAAGCUAACAGAAAUGUCUGCGGAUGACAAGAGAAAAUUUGUUCAUGAAAACAAACUGUGUUUUGCAUGCUUGAGGAAAGGUCAUAAUUCUAGAGACUGUAAAAACAGAGCCAUGUGCAGCAUAUGCAAAAGGAGCCAUCCAACCCCUCUGCAUGAAGACCGCUCUCCAGCAGGCGAACCUGAACAAAGAAAAGCAGAACAAAAUAUGUCCUCACUGUCUUGCUCAGUGGAAGGAGGUGAUAAUGGGAGCACCUCAAUGAUUGUGCCAGUGUGGAUAUCAGCAACUAAUACUCCUAACAAUGAGACUUUGGUGUAUGCGCUAUUAGAUACGCAAAGCACCCACACGUUUGUUGAUCAGGAAGUGUGUGAAAAGCUGCGGGCAGUAACAGAGCCAGUGAAACUAAAGCUCGCAACCAUGGUCAAAAGAGACAGUAUUGUGAAGAGUCAGAGAGUACAAGGACUUAAAGUCAGAGGAUUCUUCUCCAAUACAUCCAUUGACCUACCUCCAGCUUACACAAGAGACUUUAUUCCACUUGAGCGCACACACAUUCCUACAUGCCAAACCGCCAGCAAAUGGAAACAUCUUGCAAACAUUGCUCAAGACCUUCCUCCUCUAAUGGAUUGUGCAGUUGGAUUGCUGAUAGGCUAUGACUGCUCCAGAGCCCUAGCUCCCAGAGAGGUCAUCACUGGUGGCAGCAACGAGCCUUAUGCUGUAAGAACAGACCUAGGCUGGAGCAUUGUAGGAGGGGCACCGCAGUUUGUCAAUGCAAGAGAUGUAACUGGUCUGUGUCAUCGUGUAUCUGUGAAAGAGGUACCUCCUGUAACUCCAUCAGCAAUUAUUAAGGCACUUGAGUUAGAUUUUGCAGAUACCAGGUCAAAUGACAAUGAUAUAUCACAAGAUGAUAUUCAAUUCCUCCAAAUCUUAAAAGAAGGAAUUCAUCAGAAUGAGUAUGGUCAUCUUGAAAUGCCUCUUCCCUUUAAAGCACGCCCACAGCUCCCAAACAACAAAGGUCUUGCUCUUGUUCGUUUAAAGCACCUCAAAGGGAAACUGGACAGAGAUCCCAAGUUUAAAGGUGAUUAUGUAAAGUUCAUGGAAGGAGUUCUCAGAGAUGGCGAUGCUGAAAAAGUGGACACACAGCCAACAACAGGAAAUGUCUGGUACAUACCACACCAAGGCGUUUAUCACCCACGAAAGCUGGACAAGAUCAGGGUGGUAUUUGACUGCUCUGCAAAGUUUAAAGGGACAGCUUUAAACGAUCAUCUGCUAACAGGGCCUGAUCUCACAAAUGGACUGACAGGAGUACUGUGCCGUUUGCGCAAGCACCCCAUUGCAAUCAUGUGUGAUGUGGAGAAGAUGUUUCAUAGGUUCCACGUCAACUCAGAGGACAGAGACUAUUUGAGGUUUCUCUGGUGGGAAAAUGGGAACACAGACUCAGAGCCCUCAGAAUACCGAAUGAAAGUCCACCUCUUUGGGGCAUCCUCAUCCCCUGGCUGUGCUAAUUAUGGUAUGAAACAUCUGGCCAAUGAAAAUGAAAAAGAGUAUCAGUUAGCAGCUAACUUUGUCCAAAAGCAUUUCUACGUGGAUGAUGGCCUUGUAAGUGUGGAAACUGUUGGAGAGGCAACUGAGCUUGUGAAAGAGGCUCAGGCUUUGUGUGCCAAAGGAAAGCUGCACCUUCACAAGUUUCUCUCCAACAACAGAGAUGUUCUAGACUCAGUCGAUGUGGCAGAACGUGCAGCUGAGAUAAAAGAUGUUGACCUCAACUACAGUGACCUUCCAGUGCAACGAGUACUAGGUGUAAGGUGGACUGGUUAGGAAAGUGACGCUACAAGUUGGAGACAGAAAACUGGGGAAGAAGGGUGAACGCUUACAUAAGCCAUCUAUUAUUGAAAGACCCAUUCAAAAGUUGGUUGUUCUUGUAGAAAGUAGUUAAAGGGUAUAUCCCACUGUUAUUGUAUUUCUAAAUGUGUAAAGUUUGAGGAAAGUGUAUAUUUGGAAAUUACCAUUGAUUUAUUUGUAAGAAUAUUGUAAAAUGUAACAUUUACAUUGUAUAUCAAAGGUAAUUUGGUGGGAGUGUAGCUGACGCUAUGGUGGUCUGUGUGGGUUGCCGUAGUGACAGGAAGUAGGAAUAUGCUACGAGAUUUUAUUUGCUAAUUUUGGUUUAAUAAUGGCACAAUUAUUUUAUAACAGUAAGUUACAUGGCAUUUCAGUUAAUGUUUGUUUGUAAAAUUACCGGUGCUUAAAAGAAAACUAUAUUUGUAUUAAGUCAUGGAAAUGCAUGACCCGGAAGUGUGUGUUGUCAGUAGCGGGAGAGAACGGACACAAGAGAAGUCAGAGAGAAACGAAAUCGUCGAUAAAAGACUCAAAUCUAUUAACGAUAUUGGUCCGUGUAUUUUGCGGCCAACGGAUUUUCGUUUAGGAAUCAGAAAACGAAAAACGGGAAACGCCUCGUUUCCCGAUUUUAGUUUCAAAGUUUAAAAACGGAAAACGGAAAACGAACCGUUUCCCGAUUUUCAUUUCAAAAUGGGAAAAUAAAAAAAUGGAAAACGAGCCGUUUCCCGAUUUUUGUUUCCUGAUUAAAAAUUUAAAAAUGGAUUUUAAAAAUCCGGCGUGGAAAUCGGAUUUCUGAGUUUUUAUUUUUUUCCCCAAUUCUCACCCGGAAGUUGUCCCCAUACAUUUGACAGUUUCAUGACAGUAGAGGGCGUGCUGCAGUUUCCAUCGUUGUCAAGUGUAUUUUGGAUGUCUGCGGGAUGGCAACGGGCAGUUAUGUCCUUUUUCGAGAAAGCAGACGUGUUACACUUAAGGAAGAUGACAUGUCUGUGGACAAGAUAUGCAGGAUUUUUCAGGUUAAUUGCAGUAGUCUGUACAUUACAGAUGAUGCAAACACUGCAAUAUUUCCAGAGCCAGCAGGACAUUUUUCCAUCCUAAAUCUUUCACAUCACAGUCAUUAUGAGGUCCAUGGAGAUCCAGUUCAUAGUCCACUUCCUGCAAGCAGAUCCCUACCCACUACUGGUAUUCCAUUUGCCUUCAUGCACCGACCCUCACCUUCUGCUCUGACUGACACACCACGGCCUUCAGCUGGAACGCCACGAGCAAGCAACCUGUUCCCAGCAAGAUCUUUCCAAAGGGCUAUCCAUAUUGCCAAAAUAGUAAAUCACAAGCUCAGUACUUCCAAAACAGUCAUCAUUCGCUUUUUGGAAGCUGAAGCAAAUGUGGAAGGAAUAACACAGAAGGUGAAGGAUGCCUUGGGCUGUGAUGAGGUGAUUACCCUGACAGACAGCCAAGGAAAUGAAAUAGUAGACUCGGAGGGCACAAGAAGUUCCCAUUACUGGAAACAGAACUCCAGAAAAAUCUAUGCAAUCUUUGAGGAUGACUUUGUGGAGUUCCAGAAUGGAAGAACAGCUAAAGCAAGUCGAAGGGCCGACGACAGUAUGAGCAUACAAGAGGUCAUUGGCAAAAUUGACCAACUAAAGCAAGCUGCUGAGAGCCUCCAAGAUAUCACCUCAGCAAUAAACCAGCUGUCUGAGCUUGCAAAGCACACACGCAAAGCAGUGACUGAUGCCCACCUGCAUUCUGUAAAGGAUGCCUUUGCCUGCCUCGUUUGCAAAGCUCUAAUGGAGGAACCCAUGUUUUCCACGUGCUGCGAGUCUCUAGUUGGAUGCCGAACAUGUGUGGAGCAGUGGCUGUUAACUGCAGAUCACUGUCUGAAAUGCAGAGCUGAAGAAUUUGAUCGUAGGGUACACCAAGUUAAGGGUCUCCAUGCUGUUCUCUCUCUCCUCAAAGAGAUAUAGAUGUGUAAUUCAUCUAACAUUGAAUAUAAAUGGGCAUUUGUCACUACAAAGCUAAAGAGGGUGCAGAGUUUGUAUUUCAAGCCAACAUCACACCAGCUUAAUUGACCAGGUUUUCCUACAGAGGAACCUUUUAUAAAAUCAGCUUGGGUAGUGUUGGCAUAUAUACUAACCUGCAGCCUCUGCAGCUUAUCAGUAACACGUUUCCUCAUCCUGUUUGAUGGGUGGUUUUCUCUGUAAUCACAUUGUCUUUUUUACUUGGUUGUCCUUAGGUUUCAAGCCCAGUU